GAAGUAUCUUGGUAUGUAAACCUCUUUUCUCAAGAAAGAAGUUCUGACGGUACUUGAGGAAUAAGCAUCGGCUAACUCCGUGCCAGCAGCCGCGGUAAUACGGAGGGUGCAAGCGUUAAUCGGAAUUACUGGGCGUAAAGCGCGCGUAGGCGGUUUGGUCAGUCGGAUGUGAAAGCCCUGGGCUUAACCUGGGAACUGCAUUCCAAACUGUCAGACUAGAGUAUGGUAGAGGGUGGUAGAAUUUCCUGUGUAGCGGUGAAAUGCGUAGAUAUUAGAAAGAACACCGGCGGCGAAAGCGCUCUACUGGACCAUUACUGACACUGAGAGGCGAAAGCUAGGGUAGCAAAAGGGAUUAGAUACCCCUGUAGUCCUAGCCGUAAACGGUGGAUACUAGGUGUUGUGCAAAUUGUACAGUAUCUUAGCUAACGCGUUAAGUAUCCCGCCUGGGGAGUACGCUCGCAAGGGUGAAACUCAAAGGAAUUGACGGGGGCCCGCACAAGCGGUGGAGCAUGU
rnacentral:rRNA from 1 species